rnacentral:rRNA from 1 species
UACGAAGGGGGCUAGCGUUGUUCGGAAUUACUGGGCGUAAAGCGCACGUAGGCGGAUAUUUAAGUCAGGGGUGAAAUCCCAGAGCUCAACUCUGGAACUGCCUUUGAUACUGGGUAUCUCGAGUAUGGAAGAGGUGAGUGGAAUUCCGAGUGUAGAGGUGAAAUUCGUAGAUAUUCGCAAGAACACCAGUGGCGAAGGCGGCUCACUGGCCCGGUACUGACGCUGAGGUGCGAAAGCGUGGGGAGCGAACAGG